rnacentral:rRNA from 1 species
AUGGUGGUCAAAGUAAAUGAUCUCACUGUGAAAGAGAAAGAUGCUGCAUCGUCUUUCCUGGCGACUGGAGGUCCAGUCCAGGGAGGCCACUCACUCGGCCAGGAGGGCCGGGGGCAAGGACCUUCUCUGCUGGUGCCCGUAGCUGCCUCGGGUCAGGUGGACCUGGAUCACGGGCCACUCGAGCGCGCUAGCCUUGGCCAGGAGGGCCAAGGACUAGCGGCCAGAAGGGAGCACACCAAGGGGGCGCUGCAGGUUGGCCAGGAGGGUCGUUUUCCUGUAGCGUCCCUACACUCCAUGCGGGGUGGUGAUCAUGGUCAGGUGGACCAGAAUGCAUCACUGUACGCCCCUGCACCCCCUACUAGCGAAGGCCAGGAGGGCCAAGCGCUGGUGGGGGGAGCGGCCACCACCACGGCUGCUUUAACUGACCAGGCGGGCCAGGACAUGUUGCAUCAGGGGAAUUUUACUUCCCCAAUCAGGUCUGUUGCGGCUAUGGCUGCGUACCGGCCUAACCCGGUCGUCCAGGAGGGUAGGGAGGCUCUGCAGUGGGGUGAUCAACUCCUCUUUCGCCCGGGGGUGCUGGAGGUGCUGUCGGGGGCUGUCGCUGCAAGACUUGCUCCAAAAAAUACCACUGACACCCCUAUUUACACUUUCAAUGCUACAAAGAACUCCAUGCAGGGAAAGACAAAAGGAAAGGGCAAAAAAGGAAAGAAGGGAGGAGGAGUUGGGAGUUCAGGGGAAGCACGCAAGAACAUUAUAGGUAAAAAAAAGAAGCCUCUAUGA